rnacentral:rRNA from 1 species
UAAUACGUAGGGGGCAAGCGUUGUCCGGAUUUAUUGGGCGUAAAGAGCGUGUAGGCGGCUAGGUAGGUCCGUUGUGAAAACUCGAGGCUUAACCUCGAGACGUCGAUGGAAACCAUCUAGCUAGAGUCCGGAAGAGGAGAGUGGAAUUCCUGGUGUAGCGGUGAAAUGCGCAGAUAUCAGGAAGAACACCCGUGGCGAAGGCGGCUCUCUGGGACGUGACUGACGCUGAGACGCGAAAGCGUGGGGAGCGAACAGGAUUAGAUACCCUGGUAGUCCACGCCGUAAACGAUGGGUGCUAGGUGUGGGGGGUGUCGACUCCCUCCGUGCCGAAGCUAACGCAUUAAGCACCCCGCCUGGGGAGUACGGCCGCAAGGCUAAAACUCAAAGGAAUUGACGG